rnacentral:rRNA from 1 species
UACGUAGGGUGCGAGCGUUUAAUCGGAAUUACUGGGCGUAAAGCGUGCGUAGGUGGUUCGUUAAGUCUGUCGUGAAAGCCCCGGGCUCAACCUGGGAAUGGCGAUGGAUACUGGCGGGCUAGAGUGCGGUAGAGGAGAGUGGAAUUCCCGGUGUAGCAGUGAAAUGCGUAGAGAUCGGGAGGAACAUCAGUUGCGAAGGCGGCUCUCUGGACCAGCACUGACACUGGAGCACGAAAGCGUGGGGAGCAAACAGG